AGCCCCUACGGGAGGCAGCAGUAGGGAAUAUUGCUCAAUGGGGGAAACCCUGAAGCAGCAACGCCGCGUGGAGGAUGAAGGUUUUAGGAUUGUAAACUCCUUUUGUGAGAGAAGAUAAUGACGGUAUCUCACGAAUAAGCACCGGCUAACUCCGUGCCAGCAGCCGCGGUAAUACGGAGGGUGCAAACGUUACUCGGAAUCACUGGGCGUAAAGAGUGCGCAGGCGGGCUUGUAAGUCAGAUGUGAAAUCCUGUAGCUUAACUAAUGAACUGCAUUUGAAGCUA
rnacentral:rRNA from 1 species